UAGAAUAUGGUGUAUAGGUAGCACGAAGAAUUUUGAAUUCUUAGGUACAGGUUCAAUUCCUACUAUUCUAG
rnacentral:tRNA from 1 species